CCUAACUAGCCUGCCGGCACUAAACCACCAGAUCCCAUCAGAACUUUGAAGUUAGGCGUGCUUGGGCGAGAGCACUACUAGGAUGCGGAUCCCAUCAGAACUUCGAAGUUAAGC
rnacentral:rRNA from 1 species